UACAGAGGUCUCAAGCGUUGUUCGGAUUCAUUGGGCGUAAAGGGUGCGUAGGUGGCGCCGUAAGUCAGGUGUGAAAUUUCGGAGCUUAACUCCGAAACUGCAUUUGAUACUGCGGUGCUUGAGGACUGGAGAGGAGACUGGAAUUCACGGUGUAGCAGUGAAAUGCGUAGAUAGUCGUGAGGAAGACCAGUGGCGAAGGCGGGUCUCUGGACAGUUCCUGACACUGAGGCACGAAGGCUAGGGGAGCAAACGGG
rnacentral:rRNA from 1 species